AAAGUCGUAACAAGGUAACCGUAGGUGAACCUGCGGUUGGAUCAUUACUGAUUUCCGCUGCUGCCGAGUUGAUUCGCAAGAGUCCUUGGUACAGCGAACUUACCCCUGUGCACCAUAAUGUUUUUUGGUCUCUGUCGCUUGAUGGGACCAACAUCUGAAGAAACCAUUAGAAUUUGUCUUAUGCUUUAUGAGUAAUUAUAAACAACUUUUGACAACGGAUCUCUUGGCUCUC
rnacentral:misc_RNA from 1 species